rnacentral:rRNA from 1 species
AUACGGAGGAUGCAAGCGUUAUCCGGAUUUAUUGGGUUUAAAGGGUGCGUAGGCGGAUGAUUAAGCGUGAGGUGAAAUGCCACUGCUCAACAGUGGAACUGCCUCGCGAACUGGUUGUCUUGAAUGCUCCUGCCGUGGGAGGAAUGUGUGGUGUAGCGGUGAAAUGCAUAGAGAUCACACAGAACACCGAUUGCGAAGGCAUCUCACGAAGGGGUGAUUGACGCUGAGGCACGAAAGCGUGGGGAUCAAACAGGAUUAGAUCCCCUGGUAGUCCACGCAGUAAACGAUGAUAACUAACCGCUGGGUCGUAGUGAUUCAGUGGCCAAGCGAAAGCGAUAAGUUAUCCACCUGGGGAGUACGACCGCAAGGUUGAAACUCAAAGGAAUUGACGGGG